rnacentral:rRNA from 1 species
AUUGAACUCUGGCGGCAGGCCUAACACAUGCAAGUCGAGCGUGCGGCGGACGGGUGAGUAAUGUACGGGGCCUGCCAGAUAGAGGGGGCUAACUACAGGAAAAGGUAGCAAAUACCGCAUCCGAUCGGACAACCCAUAUGUGAUUAGCUAGUAGGGGAGGUAAUGGCUCCCCCAGGCGACGAUACCUAGCUGGUUUGAGAGGAUGAGCCGCCACACUGGGACUGAGACACGGCCCAGACUCCUCCGGAGGCAGUAGUGGGGAAUCUUGCACAAUGGGCGCAAGCCUGCUGCAGCCAUGCCGCGUGUGUGAAGCAGGCCCUCGGGUUGUAAAGUACUUUCAGUCGGGAGGCGUUACCGACAGAAGAAGCACCGGCUAACUCCGUGCCAGCAGCCGCGGUAAUAC